UACGUAGGUGGCAAGCGUUGUCCGGAUUUACUGGGCGUAAAGAGCGCGCAGGCGGUCGUGCAAGUCGCGUGUGAAAGCCCCCGGCUCAACUGGGAGGGUCACGCGAUACUGCUCGACUCGAAGGCAGGAGAGGGAAGUGGAAUUCCCGGUGUAGUGGUGAAAUGCGUAGAUAUCGGGAGGAACACCAGUGGCGAAGGCGACUUCCUGGCCUGUUCUUGACGCUGAGGCGCGAAAGCUAGGGUAGCAAACGGG
rnacentral:rRNA from 1 species